UAUCUUCGCUAGGUUUCCUUGCUCCAAUACUAGUUCUUUACUGCGUUUCUUCUCUGUAAAAUUCUAAAAUUUUCUCUACUCAAACACCUCACAAUCUCUCAAAUCGCUCAAAUCAUAAAUAUGUGAACCAUUCGGUAGAGACAACUCAAAAGCCGUAAUCACACAUUGUGAAUUGUGACUCCAUAAGGAAUAGCCGGUCGUCUAAAGCCAAAGAAGGAAGGAGGAAAGUUUAAAGUUUGAAAAUCACUGCGAGGGUAAGCUAUUCGAAGCCAUUCGAAGUUUUGAAGGAUAAAUCUGAAGUUUGUGGCGGGCUGCGAAAGCAUAAGUUGCAAGCCUUUGUGUUCAGUACUAUGCAAAGGCUUUUUAGAGCAUGGAAAGCUGAGUUGCAAAGGAAUAUGGAACAGGAGUUGCAAAGGAGGUGGGAAGAGGAGCGUGAACAAGUGGAUAUAGAACAAUAAGCUGCUUUCAUGACCCGAAUGCAACAAGUACUGCUAAUAUUUUUGUACUUUUCAUAACUUGGGGCAAGGUCCAAGGUUCAUAAAAACUGGCGUAGACCAAGGAGGAGUUUGAAGGCACUUAAUAUCUUUUUUGGGCCAUAUGUAUAUGCGUAGAAUGAAAAUGAACAAUAAAGUAUUGUGCAGUCUAUAUUGUAAUUGACUUUUUAGUAAUGGAAGUAAUUUUAAUAUUUUGUUUGAGGAA